rnacentral:rRNA from 1 species
UGCUACAGUCAUGCCACCCUGAACAAGCCCGAUCCCGUCUGAUCUCAGAAGCUAAGCAGGGUCGGGCCUGGUAGUACUUGGAUGGGAGACCACCUAGGAAGACCAAAUGCUGUAGGCA